rnacentral:rRNA from 1 species
UUUCGCAAUGCCCGAAAGGGUGACGAAGCGACGCCGCGUGGGUGAGGAAGGCCCUCGGGUUGUAAAGCCCUGUCAGGAGUUAAGAAAUGUAGGUGUGCUAAUAUCACGCCUAUUUGACGAAGGCUCCAAAGGAAGUCACGGCUAACUCUGUGCCAGCAGCCGCGGUAAUACAGAGGUGGCAAGCGUUGUUCGGAAUUAUUGGGCGUAAAGAGCACGUAGGUGGGUUUGUAAGUCAGAUGUGAAAGCCUCCUGUUCAACGGGAGAAUUGCAUCUGAAACUACUGAUCUUGAGUGUAGGAGGGGAGAAUGGAACUUCUGGUGGAGCGGUGAAAUGCGUAGAUAUCAGAAGGAACGCCGGCGGCGAAAGCGAUUCUCUGGCCUAUUACUGACACUCAGUGUGCGAAAGCUAGGGGAGCAAACGGGAUUAGAUACCCCGGUAGUCCUAGCCGUAAACGAUGGGCACUAAGUAGAGGGGUUUUA